GCCGGGCUUGGUGGUGCACGCCUGUAAUCCCAGCUACUCAGGAGGCUAAGGUGGGAGAAUUGCUUGAACCCAGGAGGCUGAGGUUGCAGUGAGCCGAGAUUGCACCACUGCACUCCAGCCUGGGUGACAGAGCAAGACUCCAUCUAAA
rfam:Homo sapiens chromosome 15, GRCh38 reference primary assembly.